UACGUAGGGUGCGAGCGUUGUCCGGAAUUACUGGGCGUAAAGGGCGCGUAGGCGGCCUUCUAAGUCGAACGUGAAAUCCCUGGGCUCAACCCAGGAACUGCGUCCGAUACUGGGAGGCUUGAAUCCGGGAGAGGGAUGUGGAAUUCCAGGUGUAGCGGUGAAAUGCGUAGAUAUCUGGAGGAACACCGGUGGCGAAGGCGGCAUCCUGGACCGGUAUUGACGCUGAUGCGCGAAAGCCAGGGGAGCAAACGGG
rnacentral:rRNA from 1 species